GACGAGGUGCACAAACGUUAUUCGGAAUUACUGGGCUUAAAGCGUGCGUAGGCGGCCUAGCAAGUCGGGUGUGAAAGCCCUCGGCUCAACCGGGGAAGUGCACCCGAAACUGCAAAGCUAGAGUCUCGGAGAGGAUCGUGGAAUUCUCGGUGUAGAGGUGAAAUUCGUAGAUAUCGAGAGGAACACCGGUGGCGAAGGCGGCGAUCUGGACGAUGACUGACGCUGAGACGCGAAAGCGUGGGGAGCAAACAGG
rnacentral:rRNA from 1 species